rnacentral:rRNA from 1 species
UACGGAGGGGGCUAGCGUUGUUCGGAAUUACUGGGCGUAAAGCGCGCGUAGGCGGACCUGCAAGUCGGGGGUGAAAGCCCGAGGCUCAACCUCGGAACUGCCUUCGAUACUGCGGGUCUCGAGUCCGGGAGAGGUGAGUGGAAUUCCUAGUGUAGAGGUGAAAUUCGUAGAUAUUAGGAAGAACACCAGUGGCGAAGGCGGCUAACUGGUCCAGAUCUGACGCUGAUGUGCGAAAGCGUGGGGAGCAAACAGG